GACGGAGGAUGCAAGCGUUAUCCGGAAUCACUGGGCGUAAAGCGUCUGUAGGCGGUUUAAAAAGUCCACUGUUAAAAAUUGAAGCUUAACUUCAAAGAUGCCGUGGAAACUUUUAAACUUGAGUAUGGUAGGGGUAGAGGGAAUUUCCAGUGGAGCGGUGAAAUGCGUAGAUAUUGGAAAGACCACCAAUGGCGAAGGCACUCUACUGGGCCAUUACUGACACUGAGGCGCGAAAGCGUGGGGAGCAAACAGG
rnacentral:rRNA from 1 species